rnacentral:rRNA from 1 species
CCUACGGGAGGCAGCAGUGGGGGAUAUUGGACAAUGGGGGGAACCCUGAUCCAGCGACGCCGCGUGAGUGAAGAAGUAUCUCGGUAUGUAAAGCUCUAUCAGCAGGGAAGAAGAAAUGACGGUACCUGAGUAAGAAGCCCCGGCUAACUACGUGCCAGCAGCCGCGGUAAUACGUAGGGGGCACGCGUUAUCCGGAAUUACUGGGUGUAAAGGGAGCGUAGACGGUGAUGUAAGUCUGGAGUGAAAGGCGGGGGCCCAACCCCCGGACUGCUCUGGAAACUAUGUGACUGGAGUGCAGGAGAGGUGAGCGGAAUUCCUAGUGUAGCGGUGAAAUGCGUAGAUAUUAGGAGGAACACCAGUGGCGAAGGCGGCCUGCUGGACGACAACUGACGGUGAGGCGCGAAAGCGUGGGGAGCAAACAGGAUUAGAUACCCGGGUAGUC